UGGGGGAUAUUGCACAAUGGGCGAAAGCCUGAUGCAGCGACGCCGCGUGGGGGAUGAAGGCCUUCGGGUUGUAAACUUUUUUUGCUCUGAACAAGGCGCACCAUGGGGUGUGUUGAGUGUAGGGGUUGAUUAGCGCCGGCUAACUACGUGCCAGCAGCCGCGGUAAUACGUAGGGCGCGAGCGUUGUCCGGAAUUAUUGGGCGUAACGGGCUUGUAGGUGGCUGGUUGCGUCUGUCGUGAAAGCUCAUGGCUUAACUGUGGGUUUGCGGUGGGUACGGGCUGGCUUGAGUGCAGUAGGGGAGGCUGGAAUUCCUGGUGUAGCGGUGGAAUGCGCAGAUAUCAGGAGGAAUACCGGUGGCGAAGGCGGGUCUCUGGGCUGUUACUGACACUGAGGAGCGAAAGCAUGGGGAGCGAACAGG
rnacentral:rRNA from 1 species